CUGAAUGUCACGAGUUCACUUGCCCUUUCAGUCCUGCUAGAUAAUGAUAAACAAACUUUGCUUGCUGUUCUUGAAGGAGGCUCUAACCUGAGGCUUGGCUCGAGCUCUGAGCAGGGGUGUGCGAUAUUUCCUUAAGGUCAACAUCACAUCUUUGGGGUAGAAGCCAGUGGCCAGACAGGUAGCCCUUGGUGUACUGGUUUAGGAUAGGCACAUUAUCCCAUUUCCUCUUGGUUUGAAGAGCUGCUUCAACAGGAGCGACCCACUGAGACUCCUUAUCAUCAAAAGACAGGAAGUUAUCUCCAUCGUAGCUGUAUUCAUC